rnacentral:tRNA from 1 species
GCGUUAUACUGUUAUUGUCUGUUGCUUCCCAAGCAGUAGGCGGCGGGUUCGAGUCCCGUAUCCUGCUCCA